GGUUAAGCGACUAAGCGUACACGGUGGAUGCCCUGGCAGUCAGAGGCGAUGAAGGACGUGCUAAUCUGCGAUAAGCGUCGGUAAGGUGAUAUGAACCGUUAUAACCGGCGAUUUCCGAAUGGGGAAACCCAGUGUGUUUCGACACACUAUCAUUAACUGAAUCCAUAGGUUAAUGAGGCGAACCGGGGGAACUGAAACAUCUAAGUACCCCGAGGAAAAGAAAUCAACCGAGAUUCCCCCAGUAGCGGCGAGCGAACGGGGAGCAGCCCAGAGCCUGAAUCAGUGUGUGUGUUAGUGGAAGCGUCUGGAAAGGCGCGCGAUACAGGGUGACAGCCCCGUACACAAAAAUGCACAUGCUGUGAGCUCGAUGAGUAGGGCGGGACACGUGGUAUCCUGUCUGAAUAUGGGGGGACCAUCCUCCAAGGCUAAAUACUCCUGACUGACCGAUAGUGAACCAGUACCGUGAGGGAAAGGCGAAAAGAACCCCGGCGAGGGGAGUGAAAAAGAACCUGAAACCGUGUACGUACAAGCAGUGGGAGCACGCUUAGGCGUGUGACUGCGUACCUUUUGUAUAAUGGGUCAGCGACUUAUAUUCUGUAGCAAGGUUAACCGAAUAGGGGAGCCGAAGGGAAACCGAGUCUUAACUGGGCGUUAAGUUGCAGGGUAUAGACCCGAAACCCGGUGAUCUAGCCAUGGGCAGGUUGAAGGUUGGGUAACACUAACUGGAGGACCGAACCGACUAAUGUUGAAAAAUUAGCGGAUGACUUGUGGCUGGGGGUGAAAGGCCAAUCAAACCGGGAGAUAGCUGGUUCUCCCCGAAAGCUAUUUAGGUAGCGCCUCGUGAAUUCAUCUCCGGGGGUAGAGCACUGUUUCGGCAAGGGGGUCAUCCCGACUUACCAACCCGAUGCAAACUGCGAAUACCGGAGAAUGUUAUCACGGGAGACACACGGCGGGUGCUAACGUCCGUCGUGAAGAGGGAAACAACCCAGACCGCCAGCUAAGGUCCCAAAGUCAUGGUUAAGUGGGAAACGAUGUGGGAAGGCCCAGACAGCCAGGAUGUUGGCUUAGAAGCAGCCAUCAUUUAAAGAAAGCGUAAUAGCUCACUGGUCGAGUCGGCCUGCGCGGAAGAUGUAACGGGGCUAAACCAUGCACCGAAGCUGCGGCAGCGACACUAUGUGUUGUUGGGUAGGGGAGCGUUCUGUAAGCCUGCGAAGGUGUGCUGUGAGGCAUGCUGGAGGUAUCAGAAGUGCGAAUGCUGACAUAAGUAACGAUAAAGCGGGUGAAAAGCCCGCUCGCCGGAAGACCAAGGGUUCCUGUCCAACGUUAAUCGGGGCAGGGUGAGUCGACCCCUAAGGCGAGGCCGAAAGGCGUAGUCGAUGGGAAACAGGUUAAUAUUCCUGUACUUGGUGUUACUGCGAAGGGGGGACGGAGAAGGCUAUGUUGGCCGGGCGACGGUUGUCCCGGUUUAAGCGUGUAGGCUGGUUUUCCAGGCAAAUCCGGAAAAUCAAGGCUGAGGCGUGAUGACGAGGCACUACGGUGCUGAAGCAACAAAUGCCCUGCUUCCAGGAAAAGCCUCUAAGCAUCAGGUAACAUCAAAUCGUACCCCAAACCGACACAGGUGGUCAGGUAGAGAAUACCAAGGCGCUUGAGAGAACUCGGGUGAAGGAACUAGGCAAAAUGGUGCCGUAACUUCGGGAGAAGGCACGCUGAUAUGUAGGUGAAGUCCCUCGCGGAUGGAGCUGAAAUCAGUCGAAGAUACCAGCUGGCUGCAACUGUUUAUUAAAAACACAGCACUGUGCAAACACGAAAGUGGACGUAUACGGUGUGACGCCUGCCCGGUGCCGGAAGGUUAAUUGAUGGGGUCAGCGCAAGCGAAGCUCUUGAUCGAAGCCCCGGUAAACGGCGGCCGUAACUAUAACGGUCCUAAGGUAGCGAAAUUCCUUGUCGGGUAAGUUCCGACCUGCACGAAUGGCGUAAUGAUGGCCAGGCUGUCUCCACCCGAGACUCAGUGAAAUUGAACUCGCUGUGAAGAUGCAGUGUACCCGCGGCAAGACGGAAAGACCCCGUGAACCUUUACUAUAGCUUGACACUGAACAUUGAGCCUUGAUGUGUAGGAUAGGUGGGAGGCUUUGAAGUGUGGACGCCAGUCUGCAUGGAGCCGACCUUGAAAUACCACCCUUUAAUGUUUGAUGUUCUAACGUUGACCCGUGAUCCGGGUUGCGGACAGUGUCUGGUGGGUAGUUUGACUGGGGCGGUCUCCUCCUAAAGAGUAACGGAGGAGCACGAAGGUUGGCUAAUCCUGGUCGGACAUCAGGAGGUUAGUGCAAUGGCAUAAGCCAGCUUGACUGCGAGCGUGACGGCGCGAGCAGGUGCGAAAGCAGGUCAUAGUGAUCCGGUGGUUCUGAAUGGAAGGGCCAUCGCUCAACGGAUAAAAGGUACUCCGGGGAUAACAGGCUGAUACCGCCCAAGAGUUCAUAUCGACGGCGGUGUUUGGCACCUCGAUGUCGGCUCAUCACAUCCUGGGGCUGAAGUAGGUCCCAAGGGUAUGGCUGUUCGCCAUUUAAAGUGGUACGCGAGCUGGGUUUAGAACGUCGUGAGACAGUUCGGUCCCUAUCUGCCGUGGGCGCUGGAGAACUGAGGGGGGCUGCUCCUAGUACGAGAGGACCGGAGUGGACGCAUCACUGGUGUUCGGGUUGUCAUGCCAAUGGCACUGCCCGGUAGCUAAAUGCGGAAGAGAUAAGUGCUGAAAGCAUCUAAGCACGAAACUUGCCCCGAGAUGAGUUCUCCCUGACUCCUUGAGAGUCCUGAAGGAACGUUGAAGACGACGACGUUGAUAGGCCGGGUGUGUAAGCGCAGCGAUGCGUUGAGCUAACCGGUACUAAUGAACCGUGAGGCUUAACCUU
rnacentral:rRNA from 1 species